rnacentral:rRNA from 1 species
GAUGAACGCUGGCGGCGUGCCUAAUACAUGCAAGUCGAGCGAACAGACGAGGAGCUUGCUCCUCUGACGUUAGCGGCGGACGGGUGAGUAACACGUGGAUAACCUACCUAUAAGACUGGGAUAACUUCGGGAAACCAGAGCUAAUACCGGAUAAUAUAUUGAACCGCAUGGUUCAAUAGUGAAAGACGGUUUUGCUGUCACUUAUAGAUGGAUCCGCGCCGCAUUAGCUAGUUGGUAAGGUAACGGCUUACCAAGGCGACGAUGCGUAGCCGACCUGAGAGGGUGAUCGGCCACACUGGAACUGAGACACGGUCCAGACUCCUACGGGAGGCAGCAGUAGGGAAUCUUCCGCAAAGGGCGAAAGCCUGACGGAGCAACGACGCGUGAGUGAUGAAGGUCUUCGGAUCGUAAAACUCUGUUAUUAGGGAAGAACAAAUGUGUAAGUAACUAUGCACGUCUUGACGGUACCUAAUCAGAAAGCCACGGCUAACUACGUG